rnacentral:rRNA from 1 species
UCAAGUUUAGCGGGAAAAAGGCUAAGAAUACAGGAGGACCACCUUUUGUGUAGACGGCUUUUUGGCCCGUAGCCGACGGUUAAGACAGGAAAGCGUGGUUAGCAAACCAGAUUAGAUACCCUGUAUUCCCACGCCCUAAACCGAUGCAUACUUGGUGUGAGCCAUUCAGGUGGUUCGUGCCGGAGUUAACGCGUUAAGUAUGCCGCNUGGGGAGUACGGUCGCAAAGGCUGAAACUCAAAGAAAUUGACGGGGGGCCCGCACAAGCGGUGGAGCAUGUGGUUUAAUUCGACGCAACGCGAAGAACCUAACCUGGGCUCGAACGGCUCGUGACAGCUGGUGGAAACACUGGUUUUCCCGCAAGGGACUAGAGUCGAGGUGCUGCAUGGCUGUCGUCAGCUCGUGUCGUGAGAUGUUGGGUUAAGUCCCGCAACGAGCGCAACCCUUGUCCUGUGUUGCAACCCCGCAAGGGGGCACUCUCAGGAGACCGCCAGCGAUAAGUUGGAGGAAGGUGGGGAUGACGUCAAGUCAUCAUGGCCUUUAUGUCCAGGGCUACACACGUGCUACAAUGGGCGGUACAAAGCGUCGCGAACCCGUGAGGGGGAGCAAAUCGCAAAAAACCGUUCUCAGUUCGGAUUGCAGGCUGCAACUCGCCUGCAUGAAGCUGGAAUCGCUAGUAAUGGCAUAUCAGAACGAUGCCGUGAAUACGUUCCCGGGCCUUGUACACACCGCCCGUCACAUCACGAAAGUGGGUUGUACUAGAAGCGCGCAGGCUAACCCGUAAGGGAGGCAGCGUUCCAAGGUAUGACUCAUGAUUGGGGUGAAGUCGUAACAAGGUAAAUCGAAUUCCCGCGGCC